GAUGAACGCUGGCGGCGUGCCUAAUACAUGCAAGUCGAGCGAACAGACGAGGAGCUUGCUCCUCUGACGUUAGCGGCGGACGGGUGAGUAACACGUGGAUAACCUACCUAUAAGACUGGGAUAACUUCGGGAAACCGGAGCUAAUACCGGAUAAUAUAUUGAACCGCAUGGUUCAAUAGUGAAAGACGGUUUUGCUGUCACUUAUAGAUGGAUCCGCGCCGCAUUAGCUAGUUGGUUAGGUAACGGCUUACCAAGGCGACGAUGCGUAGCCGACCUGAGAGGGUGAUCGGCCACACUGGAACUGAGACACGGUCCAGACUACUACGGGAGGCAGCAGUAGGGAAUCUUCCGCAAUGGGCGAAAGCCUGACGGAGCAACGCCGCGUGUGUGAUGAAGGUCUUCGGAUCGUAAAACUCUGUUAUUAGGGAAGAACAAAUGUGUAAGUAACUAUGCACGUCUUGACGGUACCUAAUCAGAAAGCCACGGCUAACUACGUG
rnacentral:rRNA from 1 species